rnacentral:rRNA from 1 species
CCUACGGGGGGCUGCAGUGGGGAAUAUUGGACAAUGGGGGCAACCCUGAUCCAGCCAUGCCGCGUGUGUGAAGAAGGCCCUCGGGUUGUAAAGCACUUUCAGUGAGGAAGAACGCCUGGUGGUUAAUACCCAUCAGGAAAGACAUCACUCACAGAAGAAGCACCGGCUAACUCCGUGCCAGCAGCCGCGGUAAUACGGAGGGUGCGAGCGUUAAUCGGAAUUACUGGGUGUAAAGCGCGCGUAGGUGGCUUGAUAAGCCGGUUGUGAAAGCCCCGGGCUCAACCUGGGAACGGCAUCCGGAACUGUCAAGCUAGAGUGCAGGAGAGGAAGGUAGAAUUCCCGGUGUAGCGGUGAAAUGCGUAGAGAUCGGGAGGAAUACCAGUGGCGAAGGCGGCCUUCUGGACUGACACUGACACUGAGGUGCGAAAGCGUGGGUAGCAAACAGGAUUAGAUACCCCGGUAGU